UACGUAGGGCGCAAGCGUUGUCCGGAAUUAUUGGGCGUAAAGAGCUCGUAGGCGGCUUGUCACGUCGGAUGUGAAAGCCCGGGGCUUAACUCCGGAUCUGCGGUGGGUACGGGCAGACUAGAGUGAUGUAGGGGAGACUGGAAUUCCUGGUGUAGCGGUGAAAAUGCGCAGAUAUCAGGAGGAACACCGAUGGCGAAGGCAGGUCUCUGGGCAUUAACUGACGCUGAGGAGCGAAAGCAUGGGGAGCGAACAGG
rnacentral:rRNA from 1 species